rnacentral:rRNA from 1 species
UGAGGAAUAUUGGUCAAUGGGCGCAGGCCUGAACCAGCCAAGUAGCGUGAAGGAUGACUGCCCUAUGGGUUGUAAACUUCUUUUAUAAAGGAAUAAAGUCGGGUAUGUAUACCCGUUUGCAUGUACUUUAUGAAUAAGGAUCGGCUAACUCCGUGCCAGCAGCCGCGGUAAUACGGAGGAUCCGAGCGUUAUCCGGAUUUAUUGGGUUUAAAGGGAGCGUAGAUGGAUGUUUAAGUCAGUUGUGAAAGUUUGCGGCUCAACCGUAAAAUUGCAGUUGAUACUGGAUAUCUUGAGUGCAGUUGAGGCAGGCGGAAUUCGUGGUGUAGCGGUGAAAUGCUUAGAUAUCACGAAGAACUCCGAUUGCGAAGGCAGCCUGCUAAGCUGCAACUGACAUUGAGGCUCGAAAGUGUGGGUAUCAAACAG